rnacentral:lncRNA from 1 species
CCUCGCACGCGCUAAUGGCGCAGCUGGGCCCUCUUCCUCUGGCGGGGGUGAAAAUUCCCCUCCGGGGAAGCCCGAGGCGCUCGCUCCCCAAACUCUUUCGUCGGUGCGCGUGCUUAAAGCGGGCGGAUGAAGCGUUCUUGAAAGUGCCUACACCUUUUGAGAUGUGAUUCUGAGUUGUUCAUAGAAAAAGAAAAGACAUACCCUUCCGCAAAUUCAUCCCCAUAGUUUGCAACUUUCUACUUCAAAUUGGGGUUAUGGAUUUGGGGGAGGCAAAAAUAAGUUUAAAAAUUUCCAUUAAAGAGAUGUUCCUGUAAAACAAUGAUCAAGAAAAUGUUUAAAAGCAAACCUUAGCCAUAAAACUAAUACAAGUUCUUGGUAGAAGUUUGUUUUUGAGACGGAGUUUCGCUGUCGUUGCCCAGGCUGGAGUUCAGUGGCGCGAUCUCAGCUCACUGCAACUUCCGCCUCCCGCUUUCAAGCAAUUCUGCGUCAGUCUCCCUAUGAGCUGGGACUACAGGCGCCCACCACCACGCCCAGUUAAUUUUUGUAUUUUUAGUAGAGAAGGGGUUUCACCAUGUUGGCCAGGAUGGUCUCGAUAUAUUGACCUCGUGAUCUGCCCGCCUCAGCCUCCAAAAGUGCUGAGAUUACAGGUGUGAGCCACCGCGCCCGGCCAGUAGAAAUUUUUGAAAGAAAGAAUGGUAGUGUUCACCUUCCGUUUGCAGUAUGCCAGGCCCUGUUUUAAGUGCAUUAACUUUCAUAACCAGGUCCACGUGGAAGAACUGACACACAGAGAUAAGUACAGAAGUACUUAAAGGACGCGAAAGGACGAAUAGUCUUUUCCACCUUCCAGUACAGCCACUGUCUGAUUCAGUGGCAUGGUUCCUGCCAGCGCUCUUCCGUGCAUUAGGAAGUUUGGUUCAUGGUUUACAUACAUACUG